AGUGAACGCUGGCGGUAGGCCUAACACAUGCAAGUCGAACGGCAGCACAGAAGAGCUUGCUCUUACGGGUGGCGAGUGGCGGACGGGUGAGGAAUACAUCGGAAUCUACUUUUUCGCGGGGGAUAACGUAGGGAAACUUACGCUAAUACCGCAUACGACCUACGGGUGAAAGCAGGGGAUCUUCGGACCUUGCGCGAUUGAAUGAGCCGAUGUCGGAUUAGCUAGUUGGCGGGGUAAAGGCCCACCAAGGCGACGAUCCGUAGCUGGUCUGAGAGGAUGAUCAGCCACACUGGAACUGAGACACGGUCCAGACUCCUACGGGAGGCAGCAGUGGGGAAUAUUGGACAAUGGGCGCAAGCCUGAUCCAGCCAUACCGCGUGGGUGAAGAAGGCCUUCGGGUUGUAAAGCCCUUUUGUUGGGAAAGAAAAGCAGCAGGUUAAUACCCCGCUGUUCUGACGGUACCCAAAGAAUAAGCACCGGCUAACUUCGUG
rnacentral:rRNA from 1 species